GAUGAAGAACUCAGCGAAAUGCGAUACGUAAUGUGAAUUGCAAAUUCAGUGAAUCAUCGAGUCUUUGAACGCACAUUGCGCCCCCUGGUAUUCCGGGGGGCAUGCCUGUCCGAGCGUCAUUGCUGCCCUCAAGCACGGCUUGUGUGUUGGGCCCCGUCCUCCGAUCCCGGGGGACGGGCCCGAAAGGCAGCGGCGGCACCGCGUCCGGUCCUCGAGCGUAUGGGGCUUUGUCACCCGCUCUGUAGGCCCGGCCGGCGCUUGCCGAUCAACCCAAAUUUUUUAUCCAGGUUGACCUCGGAUCAGGUAGGGAUACCCGCUGAACUUAAGCAUAUCAAUAAGCGGAGGA
rnacentral:misc_RNA from 1 species